UAUCGGUAUAAUGUUAUAUGCCUCUCAAAAUGAUUAAAACCCAUUCAAUCUCAACUUCUCGGGUAGGAAAGGAAACACAGACCGAUUUUAAGAGUUACAGUGCAGUCAACAGAAACUUAAAUCAUUAUUAGCUUCUCAAGCCCUUCCAAACAGUCAAGAUUGUCCAAUUGAUGGAUUACUGCACAAUUCACAAGUGAAAUUGGGUCAUCUUCAAUGGCCUGCAAAUGAGAGACUAUUAGUCUGUCAAAGAAUAUCCACUGCAU